rnacentral:rRNA from 3 species
CCUGCAGGAAAGGACAUCAACCGAGACUCCGCAAGUAGUGGCGAGCGAACGCGGACCAGGCCAGUGGCACUGAGGAAUAAAGUGGAACGACAUGGAAAGGUCGGCCGUAGAGGGUGAUAGCCCCUUACACGUAGAACACUCAGUGUCCUUGAGUAAGGCGGGACACGUGAAAUCCUGUCUGAACAUGGGGAGACCACUCUCCAAGCCUAAGUACUCGUGCAUGACCGAUAGCGAACAAGUACCGUGAGGGAAAGGUGAAAAGCACCCCGACAAGGGGAGUGAAAUAGAACCUGAAACCGGAUGCCUACAAACAGUCGGAGCCCGCAAGGGUGACGGCGUACCUUUUGUAUAAUGGGUCAACGACUUAGUGUGACGAGCAAGCUUAAGCCGAUAGGUGAAGGCGCAGCGAAAGCGAGUCUGAACAGGGCGUUCAGUUCGUCGCAUUAGACCCGAAACCGAGUGAUCUAGCCAUGAGCAGGUUGAAGGUUGGGUAACACCAACUGGAGGACCGAACCCGCAUCUGUUGCAAUAGAUUGGGAUGACUUGUGGCUAGGGGUGAAAGGCCAAUCAAACUCGGAAAUAGCUGGUUCUCCGCGAAAACUAUUUAGGUAGUGCGUCGACCGAAUACCCUCGGGGGUAGAGCACUGGAUGGGCUAUGGGGACUCACCGUCUUACUGAUCCUAACCAAACUCCGAAUACCGAGGAGUACUAGUCGGCAGACACACGGCGGGUGCUAACGUCCGUCGUGAAGAGGGCAACAACCCUGACCUCCAGCUAAGGUCCCCAAGUCAUGGCUAAGUGGGAAAGGAUGUGAGGAUCCCAAAACAACCAGGAUGUUGGCUUAGAAGCAGCCAUCAUUUAAAGAAAGCGUAACAGCUCACUGGUCUAAUUAAGGGUCUUUGCGCCGAAAAUGUAACGGGGCUAAAGCCAUGCACCGAAGCUGAGGAUACGUCGCAAGACGUGUGGUAGCGGAGCGUUCCGUAAGCCUGUGAAGGGAUACCUGUGAGGGGUCCUGGAGGUAUCGGAAGUGCGAAUGUUGACAUGAGUAACGAUAAAGAGGGUGAGAGACCCUCUCGCCGAAAGACCAAGGGUUCCUGCUUAAAGUUAAUCUGAGCAGGGUUAGCCGGCCCCUAAGACGAGGCGGACACGCGUAGUCGAUGGGAACCACGUUAAUAUUCGUGGGCCUGGUGGUAGUGACGGAUUGCUUAACUUGUACAUUCUUAUUGGAUUGGGUGUGCAGGGACGCGGUUCCAGGAAAUAGCUCCACCGUAUAGACCGUACCCGAAACCGACACAGGUGGUCAGGUAGAGUAUACCAAGGCGCUUGAGAGAACUAUGCUGAAGGAACUCGGCAAAUUGCACGCGUAACUUCGGAAGAAGCGUGACCCUUUUUGACGCAAGUCAGAAAGGGUGGCACAGACCAGGGGGUAGCGACUGUUUAUCAAAAACACAGGGCUCUGCGAAGUCGCAAGACGACGUAUAGGGUCUGACGCCUGCCCGGUGCUGGAAGGUUAAGAGGAGGGGUGCAAGCUCUGAAUCGAAGCCCCAGUAAACGGCGGCCGUAACUAUAACGGUCCUAAGGUAGCGAAAUUCCUUGUCGGGUAAGUUCCGACCUGCACGAAUGGCGUAACGACUUCCCCGCUGUCUCCAGCAUAGACUCAGUGAAAUUGAAUUCCCCGUGAAGAUGCGGGGUUCCUGCGGUCAGACGGAAAGACCCCGUGCACCUUUACUAUAGCUUUACACUGGCAUUCGUGUCGGCAUGUGUAGGAUAGGUGGUAGGCUUUGAAGCAGGGACGCCAGUUCUUGUGGAGCCAUCCUUGAAAUACCACCCUUAUCGUCAUGGAUGUCUAACCGCGGUCCGUUAUCCGGAUCCGGGACAGUGUAU